AUUGAACGCUGGCGGCAGGCUUAACACAUGCAAGUCGAGCGGAGUGAUGGUGCUUGCACUAUCACUUAGCGGCGGACGGGUGAGUAAUGCUUAGGAAUCUGCCUAUUAGUGGGGGACAACAUCUCGAAAGGGAUGCUAAUACCGCAUACGUCCUACGGGAGAAAGCAGGGGAUCACUUGUGACCUUGCGCUAAUAGAUGAGCCUAAGUCGGAUUAACUAGUUGGUGGGGUAAAGGCCUACCAAGGCGACGAUCUGUAGCGGGUCUGAGAGGAUGAUCCGCCACACUGGGACUGAGACACGGCCCAGACUCCUACGGGAGGCAGCAGUGGGGAAUAUUAGACAAUGGGGGGAACCCUGAUCCAGCCAUGCCGCGUGUGUGAAGAAGGCCUUAUGGUUGUAAAGCACUUUAAGCUAGGAGGAGGCUCUUUUGGUUAAUACCCAAGAUGAGUGGACGUUACUCGCAGAAUAAGCACCGGCUAACUCUGUGCCAGCAGCCGCAGUAA
rnacentral:rRNA from 1 species